CCUCUGAAUGACAAAGAGAUGGUUUUGUACAUCGUUACCAGACUUGAUAUUGACUUCAAUCCAAUAACAUCAACUAUCAUCGCAUGAGAGAAUCAUUGUAAGUAAUUUGUAUGCUCAAUUGCUAAGUUUUGAAA